AUUGAACGCUGACGGCAGGCCUAACACAUGCAAGUCGAGCGGUAGAGAGAAGCUUGCUUCUCUUGAGAGCGGCGGACGGGUGAGUAAUGCCUAGGAAUCUGCCUGGUAGUGGGGGAUAACGUCCGGAAACGGACGCUAAUACCGCAUACGUCCUACGGGAGAAAGCAGGGGACCUUCGGGCCUUGCACUAUCAGAUGAGCCUAGGUCGGAUUAGCUAAUUGGUGGGGUAAAGGCUCACCAAGGCGACGAUCCGUAACUGGUCUGAGAGGAUGAUCAGUCACACUGGAACUGAGACACGGUCCAGACUCCUACGGGAGGCAGCAGUGGGGAAUAUUGGACAAUGGGCGAAAGCCUGAUCCAGCCAUGCCGCGUGUGUGAAGAAGGUCUUCGGAUUGUAAAGCACUUUAAGUUGGGAGGAAGGGUUGUAGAUUAAUACUCUGCAAUUUUGACGUUACCGACAGAAUAAGCACCGGCUAACUCUGUGCCAGCAGCCGCAGUAACAC
rnacentral:rRNA from 1 species